CAGUAGCCACGGGAAUACGAAGGGGGCUAGCGUUGUUCGGAAUUACUGGGCGUAAAGCGCACGUAGGCGGAUUUUUAAGUCAGGGGUGAAAUCCCGAGGCUCAACCUCGGAACUGCCUUUGAUACUGGAGAUCUUGAGUUCGGAAGAGGUUGGUGGAACAGCUAGUGUAGAGGUGAAAUUCGUAGAUAUUGGGAAGAACACCGGUGGCGAAGGCGGCGACCUGGUCCUUGACUGACGCUGAGGCGCGAAAGCGUGGGGAGCAAACAGGAUUAGAUACCCCGGUAGUCCCUGUCUCUUAUAA
rnacentral:rRNA from 1 species